CCUAGGAGACACAGACCACUGUCCCUUGCUUCCUGCACACACCAUCACUGUGCAUCCACUGUCUGGUGACACAUGGCCCUCCCCUACUGGACUGUGAGUCCCUUGGAGCAGGGGCUGUGUUCCCAUCUGUGGUCUCCAUGCAACGUGCCUGGAACAGAGUAGGGAGCUCAGGGAUAUUUGAUGAGCACAUUUAAAGGAUGGAAAACAGAGGGAAGGGGUCCCUGCUUUCUGCAGCCCAGCUUUUGGGUUUCCUGCGAGCCACCCCAGGGGACGCGCCACCCCAGGUGCCUGGCAGGGCCCGUGUGUAAACACGUCUGGGGUGAAUGCCCACAGAUGCCUGAGAUGACAGAGGUAUGGGCCCAGAGGCGUGGCUCCAGCACGACUGUGAAAGCAGAUACUCCAAGGGCGGGGGAAGGCUGAGGACCAAAGUGUUCCAUGGGGCCAGAUUGGAAGCAUCCUGUAAACGCAGAUGUGUCUUCUAGAAAAGGCCUCCCUGCUGACACCCACCCUGCCACCCAACCCCCACAGGGACCGUCUCUUCCACCUGCCAAGACCCCUGCCUCAUGGGGCUAGAGAGUCCUGCUCCGUGCUGGGCACUGUGUGCUACCAGGGUUACAGCCAUGAGCAUCGCAAAAGGCCAGAGGUGAAUGAAUUCACGCAGCAGCUGCCCCCAGGGACAUGGAGUUUCACCACCAUCAAGGAGGCACAUGUGAGCAGACAGCCACCCAAUCAUCACCAUGGCAGAGUGCCCAGGGGCAGCAUGGCGGCCGUGGGGCCUGGCACCAGGCGUUCAGCUAAUCUGGCUUCAUUAUUGUGACAAUAGGACCCACCUCCUGUGGCUUUUGUGAGAAUAAACGGGACACUACCCAUGG